rnacentral:rRNA from 1 species
ACCGGAGCUAAUACCGGAUAAUAUUUUGUAACCGCAUGGUUCAAAAGUGAAAGACGGUCUUGCUGUCACUUAUAGAUGGAUCCGCGCUGCAUUAGCUAGUUGGUAAGGUAACGGCUUACCAAGGCAACGAUGCAUAGCCGACCUGAGAGGGUGAUCGGCCACACUGGAACUGAGCACGGUCCAG